UCGCCCGCGGCCGGCGCCGGGACGGUCACGGCGUCCCCGGUGCCGUGGCACAACAGCGGCGGCACCGCCUCCGUCCGGGCGGA
rnacentral:tRNA from 1 species